rnacentral:rRNA from 1 species
UUAGAUACCCUAUUAUACUAAUAAAACCCUAAAUUAUUAAUAGAUAGAGUCUUAAAAUUUGAAGAAUUUGGCGGUGGUUUAGUCUUGUUAGAGGAACCUGUUUUUGAAUCGAUACACCACGUUAAAUCUUACUUGCUUUAUAAGUUUGUAUACCGUCAUUAGCAGAUAAUCUUUAAAGAGUAAAUUAUUUGAAUUUAUGUGAAUAUAGAUAAACUUAGAUCAAGGUGCAGCUAAUAAGCGAGUUAAAAUGGGUUACAAUAAAAUUUAUUUAUUAUGGAGUAGAUUUAUGAUAAGUGAUUUAUGAAGGAGGAUUUAAUUGUAAUAUAAGUUUAACAAGCUUAGAAGAUAUAAAGCUCUAAACCAUGUACAUAUCGCCCGUCGCU